GGUACAAACUUGGAGUAAAACAGAUUAGUAGGUCAGCUGAUCCUACUAAUCUACUCUACUUCAAAAUUGGGCCC
rfam:Haemonchus contortus, ISE/inbred ISE, WGS project CAVP01000000 data, contig: Hcontortus_5124